rnacentral:tRNA from 1 species
AACAUUGAAGUAAUAAUUACAUUUAGUUUCGGCCUAAAAAUUAGGGAUAUACACCCUUAUGUUU